rnacentral:rRNA from 1 species
AUACGUAGGGGGCGAGCGUUGUCCGGAAUGACUGGGCGUAAAGGGCGCGUAGGCGGCUUUGCAAGUCAGUAGUGGAAGUCCAUUUUUCAAGGAUGGAAGUGCUACAGAAGCUGCGGAGCUUGAGUGUAGGAGAGGUUAUCGGAAUUCCCGGUGUAGCGGUGUAAGGCGUAGAGAUCGGGAGGAACACCAGUGGCGAAGGCGGGUAACUGGACUGCAACUGACGCUGAGGCGCGAAAGUGUGGGGAGCAAACAGGAUUAGAUACCCUGGUAGUCCACACCGUAAACGAUGAAUACUAGGUGUAGGAGGUAUCGACUCCUUCUGUGCCGAAGCAAACGCAUUAAGUAUUCCACCUGGGGAGUACGGCCGCAAGGUUAAAACUCAAAUGAAUUGGCGGGG